rnacentral:rRNA from 1 species
AUACGUAGGGUGCGAGCGUUGUCCGGAAUUACUGGGCGUAAAGAGCUCGUAGGUGGUUUGUCGCGUCGUCUGUGAAAUUCCGGGGCUUAACUCCGGGCGUGCAGGCGAUACGGGCAUAACUUGAGUACUGUAGGGGAGACUGGAAUUCCUGGUGUAGCGGUGAAAUGCGCAGAUAUCAGGAGGAACACCGGUGGCGAAGGCGGGUCUCUGGGCAGUAACUGACGCUGAGGAGCGAAAGCAUGGGUAGCGAACAGGAUUAGAGACCCUGGUAGUCCAUGCUGUAAACGGUGGGCGCUAGGUGUAGGGGUCUUCCACGACUUCUGUGCCGUAGCUAACGCAUUAAGCGCCCCGCCUGGGGAGUACGGCCGCAAGGCUAAAACUCAAAGGAAUUGACGGGG